rnacentral:lncRNA from 1 species
AGGUGUUAAAGUGUGCAUCUGUAUUCUGUAAACCUUGUGGCAUGCCAUAGUAAUAAGCUGAUAGCAAACUUCAGGCAACAUAACUCGUUUUUUUAUGAUACUACAGGCAACACAACUCUUCGACCAAAGCUACAAAACGGCUUAUCUCUGUUUUUUUCACCAAAACCUUAUAUUCCACCCAUCUCAGGGAACUUGGGCACAUCUCUGGGUGCGCAAUUAAAGGAGACAUGGAAGCAAAACAAACAGCUAUUUCCAAAAGAAUUAAUCUCUCCACCAAAACUGUUGUUCCAGGCAUCACGUGACAGUGCACAACAAAGGGAGAAACACAGACAGAUAUUCCCGAAAAUUCUCUCCUCCAAAAAAGUUGUUCCAGGCAUCUCAGGGAAUUUGUGUGAUGGUGCACAACAAAAUGAGAAACACAGCAGCAACACGGACAACUAUUUCCCAGAGAAAUAAACUUGCCGCAAAAAAUGUCGUUCCAGGCAUCUUGAGUAACUAAUACGGUUAUUUCCAGCAAAAGUCCUCCUGAGUUGUAUGUCACAAGAAUCCCGCAGCACCCUGCGACUGAGACGUUUCCUGCUCUGGCGUCCUCACUGCACAAACAAAUAAUUCAUUUAUCGUAGCUAGGUAUUUACAAAAAAAGAGUAUGAAACAAAAAAAAAGGCUCUCCCUGGUCCUAAUCAGAAAUGGAACCUACCUGUACUGAGGUCUGCUGUGGCUGCUGCUGUUGGUGAUAUGCAUAUCCAGGAUGGCCUGUGUAACCAAGAAUGUUAGGAUCCUCGGGACAGCAACCAUAGCCAGGACCAGAGCUUUGGGGGUGUCCAUAGUCCACACCAUUCCAUUGAUCCUGCUCAUAUUUGUGAUUGAAGAGUAUGCUUGUCAACAAAAAACUCAAAAGUGAUCUGGUCAUAAAAUAACUAGAAAGUACUCCCUCUGUAAAGAAAUAUAAGAUCGUUUAGAUCACUAGAUCUUACAUUUCUUUACAGAGGGAGUAGAAGGCAAACAACAGACAAAGACUACCUGCUUCUUAGGAGUAGGACGAGCCCAGUUAACUGUUAUGAUAUUAUCUCCCAGCUGGCUUCCAUUUAGAAUUGUCAUGGCCUCCACAGCUGAUGCCCUGCAAACACAUAAAAGUCACAAUUCAGUCUAUUCCUGGGAAGAACCGCGGUACAGUGGAGAGGGUAUGGCAGACAAAUUAAAGAUUUGCAUGAUGCAUCUGUGUUUUCAUAUUCCUGCACACACCUAUCCUAUAUGGCUGGAGUUCUCAACCAGAAUUUACCAUCAGGGACAUAGUAUUUACCAUACUCAACCGUCACCAUAAACAUCACCAAUCUAGCAUAUUUCAGAAUUGUCGAAAUUGCAAUAUAAAUAGUUAUGGUUAUGGUCUCGACAACAUAAUAGGUACAACAAAUAGGUUAAAAGAGGGCCUUGGGCAGUUAACUAACUAGGCUAAUAUAUGACUACUAUAUGGUAUAAUUUAACUUGUAUUUUUCAGGUAGAUCUGCCUAUUCCCAUGUUCUUUUAGCAUAUGUAAUCACAUGGCAUUUGUCAAACCAUUUAUUAUGACUAAACCAGAUACCUGCUCGAAUAUGUGACGAAGCCAUAGUUCUUCCCCUCUAUUACCUUGACAGUAAGCUCUCCAAAAGGACUGAAGGCUUUAUCUAGAUCCUCAUCAGUCACACAUGAAUCAAGUUGACCAACAAAAAGCUGUAAGCCAUGAAAAAAUUCUGUGAUCAAUUGACCAUACAUGUGACUCCUUUUAAAAGGUAAAACCAUGCACUCACUCUGCUAUUGUUCUGGUUAGAAUCAGAAUAUGUCCCUUGUGUACGAAAAUCUGCAGAAAUGGAAUGUAUUGUUAGAAACUAUUGACUCUGACAUUAAUGAAAAUUGUGCGGUGUAGCUGAUACAAAAAUUACUUGCUGUAUUGCGAAUUUCGGAUCCAUCAGUAGAUUAGAAUUAGCUCAGCACUAGUCAAGAAUUAAUGCACUAAAAUGUUCCAACGUUAUAGGAUGUAUACCCAGCACAAUACGUUUCACAUCUGUAGAUACUGUUAAAGCAUGGAAUUUUCAAAAAAAACAAAGCACCAAAUCCAGCAUUAAGAUAAUCAACAAAUGUUCUGCGAUAGCCGACAAUAGGCCUGAUGCGACUGAUUCAAAACUCUUGCAAGUGAAACAAUGUGUGUAUCAUGCAACUUGAAAUGCAUCAGUGCAUCCCUCACUGGCAACAAUGCGACAGAGCUAUAUGAACUGGUACCCAGCAAUUCAUAUUGCGAUAGAGGCUGGACCAGUCCAUGGAAAAAGUAAGAGCAUAAUACAAGGGCUGGAAGAGGGGAGGCUCCAUUCGCACAGCCAAAGUGACACACAAGCCCUACUGGGAUAGCAUGGCAGCCUGCACCAGGAUAAUAAAUAUGCUUACUGGCGAACUAACUUUAAUGCCAUCACAACAUGGAUGAUUAAGAAUUACUGUACUCCAUUGAAGCCAUGCUGCUAAUAUUUACUAGUCAGUGAUGCAAGAAGAGACCAUCUGGGGAAUAACAUAUGCAGGUGUGGAAGCUUUACGAAUUGCAACAUGCCGAAAACAAACCCGUAAAAAGAUAUUUGCAAUGUUAAGGACACAUAGAAAGCCAGAAAUCAAACUCACAGUUCGGUAGCUACAAAAACAAUAAUCGCAAACCAUCCAGACCCGGCUCCGCUCCGGCGAGCGGGUGAAGCAGCUGCGCAGGUAGUCCUCGUCCAUCCAGGGGAAAAGUUCGCGGAUCCGGAGUGACCUCGACUCUGCCUCCUGCCCUCCGGACCCGGCUCCGCUCUCGUCCUCCGCGGCUGGCGCCGCCUGCUCCUGCUGCGACGUCCCGUGGUAGUGGUACGGCGGCGCCAUGGCCCAGUUCCGCGGGGGCGGAUGCGCCAUCGUGCCAGGAAGGGUAGGACCAAACCCUAGCAACCGAGACGAUUCUACUGGAAUGCGAGAGGAGGAAGAGGGGAAGGAGAAAGCGGACCAAAAGCAAGGACAAGGAGAGGGUUUGCUAAAAGUUGGGGUUUAAGAGCAUCUCGAGCCGUUGGCCCCCCAGGAGGGGCUAAAAAUCCCCCCGGGGCGCACCGGCGCUAACCUGCGCGUCGGGGGGCGUGAUACUCUCCAGUCGCGGCGUCCAUGUUAUUUUGAAAAUUUUAAACACAGCACAAACACGGCGCAAAUUCAUUGCAAAUUUCGACGAGUUCGUUCAAACUUAAACAUAUUUUACAAAAAAAAGAAAAAACUACUAGGGGCCGCCACUCACCGUCUCCAUCGCCGCUCCUCGCCGUUUGCCUCGCCGCUCCCCGCCGCCCGCUGCCCGCCCUCGCAGUUCUACAUGCCGAGGAGGCUGUAGAACCGCGUGUAGUCGUCACCGUCCCUGCUGCAUCCCUCCCCCGGUUGGCGGGGCGGGUUGGACGGUCCGGGGGCGUCCUCCUCGUCGUCGCUGUCGAGGAUGAUGACGUCGUGCUCGUCCUCGCGCCCGCGCUUGCGGGCUUCGAUAUCCUCCAGGGCCCGGCGCUGCCAGACCAUCUCGUCGCGGAGGUAGUCGUCCCGCGCCCACUACAGAGCGUCCUCGUCGGAGAAGCCGCGCCGGGCUAUCUCCUCGUACUCCGCGGGGAGGCUGGGUUCCGGCUUGGGCUCGACGAGGACGAAGCGGCCGGAUAGGGGGUAGAGUCGCCGAUGCGGACGUCGGAGGAGCUGCGGGUGCGCGCGCUGACUGGCGUGUCCUGGGGCUCCAGCUUGACAGGGCGGAGGCAGGGAGAGCCCGACGAGCGGACGAACGAGGAGGAGGAGGCGUCGGGCCGCUCCAUACGCCUCGGCGUCCAGGAGCUCCCACGGUGGUGUGAGAAGGUCGAGGGAGCGGGGUACUCGAGGCGCGGUGUGUUGCGGCCCUCGAUGUACUCGAGGACGGCCUCGAACGUGCGGCCGGAUACGCCCCACCACCGGCAUCGCCCCUCGGAGUUGAGCCUGCCGGAGGGCACGACGUCGUUCGUCGCCUCGAGCUGCUCGGCGUGUCGACGGCGGAAAUAGGGCUCCCAGAGCGGGCUGUCGGGGGUGUACCGCGGGCCUUUCCUCGUCGCCCGCGGCAGGGACGCGCAGAUGCGUGCGAUCUCCGCACGGCGCGCCGCCCCGGUGGGUGGUAGUGGCACCGGCACGCCGCCAGCGCUGAUCCUCCAUGACCCGGGCACCCGCGGGGCCGGGUACUCGGCCUCGUAGAGGAGGCGAGCCUCGUCCUCGUGAAGGUGGCGGCGCCCGAAACCAUUCGCCGCCGCGCCGUCGCCUGGGAAGCGCUCGGCCAUCCUUCUGAGAUGGAGACGACGAGAGGAGGAAGAGGGAGAAGUGGGCGCGUCGGCGGUGUAGUGUGUGUGCGUAUCUCCGACGCGCUCGUUCUCGGCUUAUGUAGGCUGAGGUGUCGUGUUGUAGGCUUGGCCGGCACGUUACGCGUGGCGGGAGGCGUGGCGGGCGAGGGGACGCGCGUCGCCCGGACUUCACUGCGCCGCCAGUAAGGCAUCAAUGGAGGCUGACCAGCGCGGCAGCGCGCGCAGCUUUGGCAUUGAUUCGCCGCGCGAAACGAGGCGAUGAGGAUGACGAAGCGGCGAGAAGAGAGUCGAGUCGCUGACGCGGCUGGCCCACAGCGCUUUCACGCCAAAAAAUAUUCGCCCGACGCUCCCGAGCGUCCCCCAGCGCGCCGGGUUCGGGUUGGGUCCGCCGACGCCAAUUUCGGCCCGAGACGGCGAAAAAUGGGCCCCUGAGAGCGCGAUUGGGCCGAUUUUUUGACGCCAGCGGACGAAAAGUUGCCUGAGGCCCUUGUUGGGGGCGCGGCUGGAGAUGCUUUAAGAGGUACACGCAUCCCACACUUGAUAACUCGUGGAGCUGGUUCACCACUCUGUGAAUGCACCGACCAGGGUAAUAAUACUCCGAAUUAUUUUCGGCAUGUCUACAACGUGUUCGUCCUAUCAAGUUUUUUUCUUACCCAAACGGUAGACUGCGAGUGUGCGCAAGCGGCCACGUUGCAGCCAUCUGAUCCUGCUGACCAUCGUGAAAUCACGCCACGUGAAAAGAAGCGCAGACACGUGGGUUGGGCGAGGUUGUGGGUUUCGUUGGCUUUUGCUUCGAUUUUUGUGACUUGAGCCGCGUCACAUUUUCUGGCCAUCCCCUUUCUCCUCUAUCAUCUCGAUUUCACCGUCAUCAUCACCGCGCCAUGCUGAAAUCUGAGGGAUCUGCCAACACACGCCCUCGUUGCGGUGAUGCACAAGGGAUCUCACUAUCCAUUCCCCUCCCCUAACGGAUCUUGCUAUCCCCUCUCCGCCCCCGUCCGCGCACCGGUGAUCCAUCACUCCAAAAUUCGGGAGUGCUGAAGGGAGGGAAGAGUGGUGUUAGUGGUGGUGCGUAGUAGAGGAGGUGAUAGAGAGUCGUGCGGCCGAGGGAAUCGCCAUCGACAAGCGCGGCAGAAGGGGUUGGGUGGCGGUGGUGUUGCUGGAGUUUGGGCGACGGCAUGUGCCUCCUCAGUAACAAAUUCUAGUGGCGUCACACCCUCAUCCGCGUCGCCGCUAUAGGCGUCAUCACCACGAUGACGAAUUUUGUCGUCAGUUGGGUGCAUCGAGGCCAAGGACGCUCUCAAUGAUUUCCUCCACUGGUGUAGAACGACGGAGGUAGAGCAGAGGCUCUCGCAGGGGCGCGCUGCUUCGGAGAUGGUGAUGGCGCUGACAGUGUGCGGGGCUGUAGAUUAGCAACAACAAUUGACGGAGAAUUUGAAAACCAAGGAAGGGAAUGUUCAUAAGCUUGCUAAGCUACUUACCAGCAUAGUCGGCACCCAGGAUGACGUUUUUUAAGCUAUGCUGAAGUGGUCUUAGUUGUCUAAAUUUUUUUUGCCGUGUUUAUUUGCACUAGUGGCAAACUUUGAUGUCCGAUAUAUGUAAUCGGUUGGUUUGUUGUUGCGUUUAUUUCCUGGUGUGGAGUGCCUUUUUAUGGUCAAUUAUUGUAGGUUGCUUUUAGUGGUCUGCUAUUGGACCAAACAUGCCAUCGGUCUUUAGCUGACCAAAAUAACCAUGUGCCACAAAACGGGACAAAAGAACCUCAGACCAUAAAAAUGGGCCAAAAGAUAAUAUGGGCCGCAAAUGCCUGAAAGCACGCAUGAUAUGAAUGGGCACAAACACAUACUGAGUUGUUGUUAAUGGACCAAAAUACAUCACAGGCUGGAAAAUGGCUCAUGGACAUGGCAAGUCGUUAAUGGGUCGAAAGUCAUCAAGGACCUGAGAUGACCCAAAGACAUCACAUUCGUUAACGGGCCAAAAGACCACACUAGCUGGAAAUUGCCCAAAAGCCAUGAUGGAUUGUUAAUGGGCCGAAAUAUAUCAACAACCAAAAGACAUCAAUAGAUCAAAGAGACCACAUGUCAUUAACAGGUCGAAAGAGUCGUCCGCAGAGCUGUUAAUGGCCGAAAGGCACCACAUGUUCUAGAUGUGCCAGAAGUGCCACGCGUCAUUAAUGGUCUGAGACACACAAUGGGCCUCAUAUAGGGUCAAAAGAUGUCACGGGCCACACGUGGGCCUAAAGUAUCAAUGGGCUGGAACCAUGUCGCACGACCCACGUGUUGGUAAUGGGCUAAAUUCACACAGGUCCUCAUGGACUGUGGACUUGGGCCGUAAAUGAGCUAUAUGCAAGCAUGUUGUUGAAGGACCUUCCAUGGGCCAGAUCUACUAAUUUUUGACUUAGGAUCGUGGGUUUAACCUGGCUUUUGACUUAUCUGGCAUUUUUGGCUAAACGGGCCUAUAAUUGCCACAUGCCUUUAUUACAAAAAAGGGUUUACCCCCGCUUUAUAUUAUAAAACAUGACCGCCAAGCAUUCAACAAGAUAAGAGUACAUGAUAGAGUACAAAAAGCAAAUAAAUGAGGUCUGGCUGGGGGCACAGCCAAACAAGCCCCAACUAUAAAGAAAAUAACACUAGUCAGGCUCCGGUGGUGGGGGUGGUGAUGGCGGAGACAUCGUGGCAGCCAAAGAACGAAGACCGGCGACGAUGGAGUCAAUGGAGCCACAAUCACGCCGCUUGCUAAGCGGUCUCCAGAGCUGUAAAAAUUCACACAUUUUAAAGAUGCGUCAGUGACAUGACAAGGGAUGACGUGCUCGAUCAUUAGUUUAUUACGACAAUUCCAGAGGGUCCACGCCAAGGUGCCCACUACGACCCAAAGGGCUGACCUACUAAUCGAUGGGAAAUCUAGGACAUCCCUAAAUAGGUCAGGGAGGUUAUCAUGGCACCAUGUCCCACCCACGAUGUCCCGGAAGAAACUCCAUAGGAAUCGUGCUGCCGGGCAUCGAAAGAAGAUGUGGUUGGAGUCUUCCGGGAUGCCACAAAGGGGGCAGAGGCCAUCACCUAGGCCAUUCCACUUCUGGACCUUCAUGCCUGAGGGCAGGCGGCCACAAACCCAUUGCCACAUGAAUAUACGUAUCUUAAGUGGCAACUUGAUUUCCCAAAGAACCGUAAGUUCAUUGGGACCCGGAGAAGGCAAAUAGCCCAGUAUAGGGACUUAGUCGAGAAUGUUCCACUCGACUCAAGGUGCCAGGCCACAGAGUCUGGUUUGAGCUAGGGAGUGUGUAGAGCCACGCAUUCCAAAAGCUCUUCCCAUUAUGCUCGCUCAAGAUCCCCAAAGGUGCGAUGAAAGGAGAUGGUGACAAUGUCAUGAAGGGUGGCUCCCGCUGUCAUCUAUGGGUGGGAGCAAAUCGAGAAUAAGGCCUAGAACCUUUUCGCGAGUGGUCUAGUUCCCGACCAUCUAUCCAGCCAGAACAAUGUGUUAGAGCCCGAGACCAUAGCAAACGACGUGCCGAUCUGGAGAACCGAUAGCAAUUGAAUAAUUGACUGCAAGAACUGGGACCCCCAACCUGGGGGGCAAAGGCGAGGGGUUGUCCGCGUAGGUACUUUGCAUGGAUAAUACCCAACCACAGCCAACCGGCACCGGUCUCAAUGCGCCGCAGCCACUUGGCGAGGAGAGCGAUAUUCAUACGCUUCGAGGAGAUCACACCAAGGCCAUCUUGGUCCUUGGGUUUGCAGAUCCUAGACCACUUUGACCAUGUGAUCACAUGUCUUUAUUUAAUAGGCACAUGUGGUCCAUUGGACGUGCGAAAUUGCUUCCUCUGAACUAGGAAGGUGUUGGCCCCCCAAGUGUAAGGGUAUGUAUCAAGCAGCAAUUCCCUUAAGUGGGCGACCCUCAGGUUUAUCGAACCAAUAGAGUUGCACGACAACCAAUUAUUAGUACAUGCACACAUAAAUACAAAAAACCCUUGACCCCCAACAAAACUAGCGAGGUUGUCAGUCUCACUAGUUACAAGGAUUAAAUGCAUGAGUGUAUGAAAGAUUUGGUUGUAGCAAGAAAGUAAAACAAGGAAUUGUAAGAAAGCGUUUGAUCGAGACUGGAAGAAAUGGGAGGAAAAAUGGACCGGGAUCCAUAGGUUCACUAGUAGUUUCUUUUCAAAUGAUAGCAUGGUGUGGUGAACAAAUUACAAUUGUGUAUCAAUUAAAUUACAAAUUUUAUAACUAUGACUAUCCACGGCAUAGUCAACAUAUGAUCAUCACGUCCAAACAUCUAUACACCAUUAUUGUUAAGGCAUGUCUCUCUCUAUGUAGUUUUGGUGAUUGAUGACAACGCUUUUGUGGACUAAUCAUGUGCAUUGAGUAUUUUAGAGAUUCUUCCUUUGACAUGAGACGAUUCCUUCCCCUUGGAGUUUUAAGCGAAGACGGUGUAGCUCUUUCGUUUCAGUUUUGCUGGACUUGUUUCGUAGGAGUCACCGUACUAUCAAGAGGGGGUCCGCAUUGGUAAGGCUAGGGUGGAAUCAACACGUACACAUCCCCUUUGCACCCAUAGAGCCUUCCCGCUUCUUUGAAGGAUUCCUCCUUGCUUCCUGAGAAAUCUGGUCCCAGAGGUAGUACCUCGGACCCCAGCGAUAGUACCACCCGAGAGCCAUAGGUGGCAGUACCGCUACGCAGCGGUAGUACCACCUGGGGGCUCUCAGCCAUAGUGUCGUUGCUGUUCUGAGCUCCUACCGCCUCGACUCGAGGGUGUUGCCUCUCGUGUCGGGUUUUGCGGCACUGAAAGCGGCAGUAGAGGCGGUCGCUGCAAAAAAAAUACACUUCCGUGAUGAUACGUGUUUGUCACAGUAGGUCACAUUUUCUGUCAUGCAUGUACAUACAUGACGAUUUUAUGAUAGAAUCAAGAUAGUCAUACCUCUGUUGUCGUAGAAGUGCUCCAUGACAUUACCAAAAUUAUCAUCAUGGAAUUGUCCACUUCCAUGACGAUAAAUCGCGCGUCACAGAAGUGCUUUCGUCAAGGGUCACCGACACGUGGCAUCCACCGUAACGGAACGCCGUUAAGCUAUCGGGUCCAGUUUUGGAUCCGAUAACCCGUUAACAGCCGGGACCAAUGGGAAAUUUCCACGUGUAAAAUCUAAUUGGCCGGAGGGAACACGUGUCAGCUCGUCAGUGGGCCAGAUGUCGCUCGUCCAUUGGAGGAGACAUGCCUAUGAUACGUCGACACGUGGUUGGGUCCAACAGAGGCCCAUAUAGGUUAAAAAGGCCGGCCCAGUCAAAGGCACGUAGUACUUACUCAGGUACUAGUGGGCCAGCCCAAUAACGGCCUGCUUAAUAAAGGCCCAUUUACGGCCCGAAGCUAGAUCUGGCCCGUUAAUUGUUCACCGAAUAUUUGGGCCCAUUUACAGCCCGAAGCCAGAUCUAGCCCAUUAAUUGUUCGCCGAAUAUUUGGGCCCAAUUAUAGCCCAGUGACUUUCGGCCUGUUAGAGGCCCGAUGUAGAUAUGGGCCCAUUUCAGCUCGGUGUUACUUUCGGCCUGGGAAUGGCCCGUGCUGCCCAUGGGCCAUAUAUGGUCCGACGGGACAUCGGGCCCACUAACGGCCCAUGAUAAAGGUGGCAACAAUUAAGCCCAACAUGACUUUGGGCCUGUUAAAGGCCUGUCGCAUAAUUCGGCCCGUUGAUACCUGUACUAAGCUUUCGGCCUCUUAAAGGCCCAUGAUAUCAGUGGGCCAACUAAGGCCCGAGAUAUGUUUCAGCCUGGUAACGACCCGUGAUAUAACUGGGCCCAAAAAGGCUCGGUCUACAUUUCAGCCCGCUGAAGGCCCAUCGACGACUAAUGAAAAUUGAGGCCCAACAUGCAUUUCGGCCUGCUAAAGGCCCAUGUUUUCAUCUGGGCCAUAACAUGCCAAUACAAUAUUCAGCCUGUUAAUGGGCCAAUGCUACCUGGGCCAAACUAAGUGUUGGGUCCACAAAAGGCCCAACUAAAAUAUAGGUCGGUGUAAGUUGUGGGCUUGGCGCAAAGUGUGAAGGCCGCAAUCAUUCAAGCCCAAGAAAGAUGCAGGCCUGCCCAAUUGUGGCCCGCUAAAAACCAGGCCCUUUAGAGGUGAAUGUUUCAGCCCGGUCGACUACAACAGUUUUUUUUUCAGAUAGCGAAUGAUGGCAGUAACUAGUAGGAAUUAAGAACAAACCUACUCUAUACAAUAAAGAAAUUAUGGCAUAGUAACUAAAAAUAAACCUACACUAUACAAUAAAGGAUUUAUGGUAUGUUACAUCCAUUGGGCAUCGAAGUUCACCACUAGUGAUCAUAAAGCGCAAUGAAGAUGCAGAUUACAAAAACUGGGCACCAUUGCAGCGUAACAAAAUAAUACUGAACUGAGACCACUUCCAAGACAGUUCAAGAAAGGUUAGCCUUGCACGGGAACUACUGCGCAAGCUGCUGAGCAAGGCUGUGAGACCGGCCUAGCAUGUCGGUCAUAGCUUCCAGGUGUAGUUGUUUAGCGAUGAGGUUCUUAUUGAUGUUCUCCGCAAUCUUUCUUAGAGAUAGGACUUCAAGUCGAAGUUGAGUUGCAGAAUGCCUUUCUGCUAGAACUUGGGACUGAGAAGUCGAACUGAUUCAGACAACAAAUUUUGUGAGCUUGUCUGACUAGUAGUCUCAAGUAACUUAAACACUGCAUCAAGACAAGACUUUGAGGUUGUCUCGCUAUCUUCAAGAUGUUUUGCCUUCUUUGCUGCAAUAUAUGUUGGGUUUGUCUCAGAGCCUUCAGCAGACUUGUGCAUGCCAUCAGGCAUAUGACCCUGAAACAAAACAGAGAGAUGACAGGUUUUGCACAUGUAUAAACAAAGAUGAUAACUAUCAUGUCAAUUCCAUCCAAUUUCAAAUUAGAAAACAAAGAGUAAGUUCAAAAUAUCAAUAGCAUAAUUUGGCAUUGUUCAUAAUGCGGGGAGCUUCACCACACUGCUGGAUUACCAUGUCAACAUAACAAAGCAUAGAUGAAGGGCAAAGAAAAUCAUUGUAUCUAUUUUGGUAAAUGUGCAUGGCAUGUUGUUCAUAUCAUCAGCCACAUCAGUAAGAUAAAACAGGAGAUGACAAGGUGCAAACGUGGGCUGCUUCACCACACACUAGAUUAUAGAUCCACAAAAACAAGCAUACAUAUAGGGAGUAUUGAGUAAUGUGCAUGGUAUGAAUAAGGAAUUUGGUUUUACAAGUAAAAUUUAGAACUUACGCUUCUUGCGAACAUGCAUUUGGGUAGAAACAGCAAACUAAACAGCAGUAAAUGAUAGGGAGUAUGAGCAAAUUAAACAGCAGUUGAGGAUAAAGGCUUUAGAAGGAAUGACUUACAUUAACAGUUAACACCGGCUUUAUAAUGCCCUUCUCCAUGUCAAGGGAAGGAUAACUCAAGAAUUUCAGCAGAGAAUCUUCUUCAUAAGCAUUGCAUGUGACAUGGAAGGAUAACUCAAGAAUUUCAGCAGAGAAUCUUCUUCAUAAGCAUUGCAUGUACUCUACAUUUUGUAGAGAGUAAUUAUAGAUAUGAUAAUACUGGAAGGGAUAGAGGAUAAUGAAGAUAAGAUGCAGAUUGAUGCUACAUAAUGAACUACCAAUCCCUGGAAGUACAAGCCUUAUAGGACAAAAUGUACUGACAAGAGCAAUGGGCUACACUUCUGCACUGGCAUUGUCUGUGUAUUCUACUUUUUGGUAAGAUUAAAUAUAGAUCUGACCUUUUUUAGUAAAUGGUGGGCGAGGGAGAUAAGAUGCAGAAUGCUACACGAUGAACCAAUCCCUCUUCCCAUAAUACAAGAGUGUUUUGGACACUGGUGUACUGUACAAAACGUUCUUAUAUUAUAGGAUGGAGGGAGUAGCUGUUAAUGUAAGUAUAGUGAUAGACGACGUUCAGUCCUUACAAGAGGACUGUAGAGCUAAACCUCUUCAAAAGCAUUGGGUUGAUUCUAAAUUUAUUUAAGAGUCCAUACGGAUCUUAUAAUGUCCACCAAAUGGACGAUAACGAGGCUAACAUGUGCAGUGAUGCUACAUAAUCAAACAGCUAUGAAAGUAAGUGUGGUCAUACAAGGUAAGAGGUACUCACAAGAGCAAUGCAGUGUGCAGUAUAGUUGUGAGAUUCUGUGGUCCCUUGAGAAUGAAUGUUCUUCUACUAACAGUUUUCGUACAAGUGAUAUGUUAAGGCAAAUGCAGAAAUGUAGUUCAAAUUCUGAUGUGACAUCAUAGACAGUACCUUACGCUGCAGCCGAGACCAAUGUGUAACAAUAUUAUUCCACUCACCAUCGGAUAAAAUGUAGAAGCGGAGACUUUCCAGAAAUUUUGUUUAGAGGCUUGCCAUCGAAGUGCGCUUGCCUCAGGUAGGAAUGAUACUUUAUCAACGAGUGCUUGGAAAGUGCAACCAACCCUUGCUCGUCUUCACAAUCCAGUUUGGUCCAGGCCUAUUUAAAAGAAUGAAAUCUUGUGUCUUCUGUCAACAGAAACAUAUGCAGUAAUGACCAUGAAUAACAUUAGUGCAUUACUUACGCGUAAGUUGCGGAGGAAGACUGGAAAUUGUUCUGUGUCUGUGGUAUAAUCUUUCCAUGAAGGAAAGAUGCGCACAAAGUUCGUGACAACAAUAUAAGCUUCAUCUUCUAAACAGGGAAGAAAUGGAACAGGGGUCCUAUUUGCUGCAAUUGGGUCUUUCUCUGGUUCGAAAAGGGAUUUGGCAACUGGAUUUGGUGUACUCUUUGCUAGAAUGGGGGUUUUGCAUCGUAGAGCUGGUGCUAUGUCAACUGGCAUAAUCAUAUUGUUUGCUGCAGUUGGGGUCUGCUGAGUUGGGGCAUCAGAAAUGACCAUUGUAGUAGGGCUAGAGUCUUCUAGAGUUGGGGUGUUUUGUGGGUCAGGUGAUAUUGCAACUACACCUAAUGGGCUAUUUGAUUUAUCAGGUGCCACUACCUUUUCCAAA